UACGAAGGGUGCAAGCGUUACUCGGAAUUACUGGGCGUAAAGGGUGCGUAGGUGGUCGUUUAAGUCCGUUGUGAAAUCCCUGGGCUCAACCUGGGAAUGGCAGUGGAUACUGGACGGCUAGAAUGCGGUAGAGGGUAGUGGAAUUCCCGGUGUAGCAGUGAAAUGCGUAGAGAUCGGGAGGAACACCAGUGGCGAAGGCGACUACCUGGACCAGCACUGACACUGAGGCACGAAAGCGUGGGGAGCAAACAGG
rnacentral:rRNA from 1 species